CAGCUUCAUGUAGAUGUUAAACAGCAUAGGGGACAAGAUGGAACCUUGUGGGACCAUGUAGCACAAUUGCCACAGGGUCAAAUAGCAGCCCACUAGCUCCAUCUUCUGAAAGCAUCACAACAGGUUGUCUACCAGGGCGACCAAGGUGGUUUCAGUUCCAAACCCGGCCUAAAGCCAGACUGAAAUGGAUCUAAAUAAUCUGUUUCUUGCAAGAAAGCUUGGAGUUUCAAUGACACUGCCCACUCGAGUACCUUGCCCAAGAAGGGAAUAUUGGCAAUUGGGCGAUAGUUAAGGAUGGCCAUGGCAGACUUGGGAAGCAAAGACUACUUGAACUCCUGCCUCCCAGUCUCUUGUGAGGCCAGCUUGUCACUGUUGUAGAUAACUUUUCCUUU